rnacentral:misc_RNA from 1 species
ACACCUCAACUCUCAUGGCCUGCCAUGAUGAGCUUGGACUUUGGGGGUCUUGCCGGCGUACCGUCGGCUCCUCUCAAACCAAUCAGCUUGCCAGUGUUUGGUGGCGUCGCAGGUGUGAUAACUAUCUACGCUUGUGGUUUUCCACCAGGUAACCUCCAGCGAUGGAGGUUCGCUGGAGCUCACAAACGUCUCUCCUAAGCGAGGACAGCUUUUUAAAC